rnacentral:tRNA from 1 species
UUAAUUUAAGUAUUUUAAAACACUAAUGUUUGAUAUUAGAAAAAUCAAUUAAAUUUGAUAAAUUAAA